rfam:Brachypodium distachyon strain Bd21 chromosome 4, whole genome shotgun sequence.
CUUGUACUCCCUCCGUCCCAUAUUAAGUGGCUCAAAUUUGCCCAAAUAUGAAUGUAUCUAUGCCUAAAAAGUGUCUAGAUACAAUAGAAAGUCACUUAAUAUGGGACGGAGGGAGUAUUAG